rnacentral:pre_miRNA from 1 species
AGGAUCAUAGAGUAGUGAGAAAGUGAUAGGAUAUCACUUUCUCACUACUCUAUGAUCC